UGGGGAAUUUUGGACAAUGGGCGAAAGCCUGAUCCAGCAAUGCCGCGUGUGUGAAGAAGGCCUUCGGGUUGUAAAGCACUUUUGUCCGGAAAGAAAUCCUUGGCUCUAAUACAGUCGGGGGAUGACGGUACCGGAAGAAUAAGCACCGGCUAACUACGUGCCAGCAGCCGCGGUAAUACGUAGGGUGCAAGCGUUAAUCGGAAUUACUGGGCGUAAAGCGUGCGCAGGCGGUUUGCUAAGACCGAUGUGAGAUCCCCGGGCUCAACCUGGGAACUGCAUUGGUGACUGGCAGGCUAGAGUAUGGCAGAGGGGGGUAGAAUUCCACGUGUAGCAGUGAAAUGCGUAGAGAUGUGGAGGAAUACCGAUGGCGAAGGCAGCCCCCUGGGCCAAAUACUGACGCUCAUGCACGAAAAGCGUGGGGAGCAAAACAGGAUUAGAUACCCUGGUAGUCCACGCCCUAAACGAUGUCAACUAGUUGUUGGGGAUUCAUUUCCUUAGUAACGUAGCUAACGCGUGAAGUUGACCGCCUGGGGAGUACGGUCGCAAAGAUUAAAAACUUAAAGGAAUUGACGGGGUCAUAGCUGUUUCCU
rnacentral:rRNA from 1 species